rnacentral:misc_RNA from 1 species
GAUGAAGAACGCAGCGAAAUGCGAUAAGUAGUGUGAAUUGCAGAAUUCAGUGAAUCAUCGAAUCUUUGAACGCACAUUGCGCCCUUUGGUAUUCCAAAGGGCAUGCCUGUUCGAGCGUCAUUUGUACCCUCAAGCUUUGCUUGGUGUUGGGCGUCUUGUCUCUAGCUUUGCUGGAGACUCGCCUUAAAGUAAUUGGCAGCCGGCCUACUGGUUUCGGAGCGCAGCACAAGUCGCACUCUCUAUAAGCAAAGGUCUAGCAUCCACUAAGCCUUUUUUUCAACUUUUGACCUCGGAUCAGGUAGGGAUACCCGCUGAACUUAAGCAUAUCAAUAAGCGGAGGA